UUGGUGGCUCAAUUAGUAGAGAAUGAGACUCUCAAUCUCAGAGUCAUGGGUUCGAGCCCCAUAUUGGGCAAAA